rnacentral:rRNA from 1 species
UGCCUAAUACAUGCAAGUCGAGCGGACCGACGGGAGCUUGCUCCCUUGGGUCAGCGGCGGACGGGUGAGUAACACGUGGGUAACCUGCCUGUAAGACUGGGAUAACUCCGGGAAACCGGGGCUAAUACCGGAUGCUUGAUUGAACCGCAUGGUUCAAUCAUAAAAGGUGGCUUUUAGCUACCACUUGCAGAUGGACCCGCGGCGCAUUAGCUAGUUGGUGAGGUAACGGCUCACCAAGGCGACGAUGCGUAGCCGACCUGAGAGGGUGAUCGGCCACACUGGGACUGAGACACGGCCCAGACUCCUACGGGAGGCAGCAGUAGGGAAUCUUCCGCAAUGGACGAAAGUCUGACGGAGCAACGCCGCGUGAGUGAUGAAGGUUUUCGGAUCGUAAAACUCUGUUGUUAGGGAAGAACAAGUACCGUUCGAAUAGGGCGGCACCUUGACGGUACCUAACCAGAAAGCCACGGCUAACUACGUGCCAGCAGCCGCGGUAAUACGUAGGUGGCAAGCGUUGUCCGGAAUUAUUGGGCGUAAAGCGCGCGCAGGCGGUUUCUUAAGUCUGAUGUGAAAGCCCCCGGCUCAACCGGGGAGGGUCAUUGGAAACUGGGGAACUUGAGUGCAGAAGAGGAGAGUGGAAUUCCACGUGUAGCGGUGAAAUGCGUAGAGAUGUGGAGGAACACCAGUGGCGAAGGCGACUCUCUGGUCUGUAACUGACGCUGAGGCGCGAAAGCGUGGGGAGCGAACAGGAUUAGAUACCCUGGUAGUCCACGCCGUAAACGAUGAGUGCUAAGUGUUAGAGGGUUUCCGCCCUUUAGUGCUGCAGCAAACGCAUUAAGCACUCCGCCUGGGGAGUACGGUCGCAGACUGAAACUCAAAGGAAUUGACGGGGGCCCGCACAAGCGUGGAGCAUGUGGUUUAUUCGAAGCAACGCGAAGAACCUUACCAGGUCUGGCAUCCUCUGACAACCCUAAAGAUAGGGCUUCCCUCCG